UUUUCAUUUUCAUUUUUUGUUUAAAAUUAUUUUUCCCAAUAAGAUUAAAUUAACUGAGCUAUUGAUUUCUGUAAUUCGUGUGCAUGUCCAGGUAACCUAUGACAUGAUAUCUAUGAAACUUCGCAAUAGCAUCUUCACUUUUCCCUGUUUAUGCAUGUAAAUGGUUGUAUGUAUGAAUAUAUAGGAAAAUACAAAGAUCAGAGUGGAGAGAUGGGCAAGGAAGGAGAAGCCCGCGUAUCUCAGCCCUUGAUCCAUGGAAGCCAGUGCCACACCAACCAACACCACCAACUAGUCCCUCCUCAUUUUCUUCGCACUCACACAACUACUUGCGGAUGGAGGAAGACCACCACCACCACCGCCACCAGGGUGCCCCAUCCGAUACCAUUACCAGGGCUAGCAUCAAAAGAAAACUCCAACAACCUUUACUUAAUUCUCUUCUAACCAAACCCAAACAGGGCAUAGAGAACCCAAAUCAUGAACAUCAUUCAACCAAUAGUGAUCAACCAUUGGUUAUCAAACCUAAAGGAAGUGCAAAACUUGAUGAUAAUGCUACCUCCACUGGUCAACCAUUAGUUAUGUCACCCAUUCCAUUCAUGCCAGUAAGACGCAUCCUUGAGCUUGUCUUGGACAUAUUGCAAAGGUGAGUACUACUCAAGUGUAUUUUGCACCUUUUGAAGUUUAGGAUGGUGAAAGGAGAAAAUGAUUUAGGAAGAAAUUUUACAAUGAUAUAUUUCUUGGAGGAAAUAUUUUGUUGUUUAAACUUUUUUCUUUUGGUAUCAGGCGAGAUACAAAUGAAUUAUUUACUGAACCAGUUGAUCCCAAAGAGGUUUAUUUUUGGUUAUUGAUUUCAUCAUUUGAUUGUUUUGGUCCCUAUUAACCCACUAUAAUUGAUGAGAUUUCGUGCUUCUAUGUAAGGUUGAGGAUUAUUACGAAAUUAUUAAAGAGCCUAUGGAUUUUGGCACCAUAAGGGCUAAACUUCAUGGAGGAAUGUAUACAAAUCUUGAGCAAUUUGAGGUUUGUUCCAUUGUUGAAAGUUACUGUCAUAAUUGUUAAUCUACUUCCCAAGUUAAAUUGUUCUUCACCAUCUAUUUAGUGUCUGUUAUAAUAUGCAGCAUGACAUAUUUUUAAUACCAAGAAAUGCGAUGCAUUUUAACUCCACGGGUACCAUUUAUUUCAGACAGGUAUUGUUACCAGAUUUUGCAUGGAAGAAUUGUAGCUAACAUGAAGAUCUUGAUUUUUCUCCAUUAAUUGAAUACCAUAGUCUGAUAUUUCACAGGCUCGUGCCAUAUAUGAUCUAGCUAAGAUGGUUUUUCAUGUUCUAAAAACUGAUUUUGAAAACUUUGAAUUGGAGUUCUCGGAGACAAGACAGAGACCACGUAGAGGGCCCCAGGGAGAAGCCAACGGUUUGAAUUUUAACUCAAGUCCUAGGUUCGCUACAAAUGUGCAUGCAAGUCUAGUUGUAAAAUGUAGUUUAAUUGUCUUGUGUUCCUUACAUUCUGUAAACAGGUGCUAGAGAUGGUAGAAGAUCUAAUUUUGUUGAAGUGGAUCGGCGUUGCACAUAUAAACCAUGGUUAUCCUUCCACAAAGAAAAUGAUUCUAUUUUUUCAACAAUUCAUAGUGCCCCACAACUACUGUCUCCUGUGAAUGAGUGUGAUAUUAGCUACAGGGAAAGUUUGAUGUUGUUUGCUAAAGGUUUAGGACCAACAGCCCAAAUGAUUGCCUACCGAAAGUUACAAGGAUGCUUGCAAGAUGCUCCCAAUUUUCAAACUCCAGCUUCAGACUCUAUCAGACAAGUUGCUACAUGUCAAGUUCCUGCUGCAUUUGCCUCUGCUGAUAAUGGUCCUAGUACUCUGGAUACAUUAAUCCCAAAUACGUCUUGGGACUUAUUUGAUCCCCUUCCUGGGUGUUGUUCAACCCUUAAAACAACAACUACUGACGUAAUUGAUUUGACUGACGCUGAUGAUGGAGAAAAGGCUGAUACGAGUGAUAGGAUGGGUGAUGGUAGUGCUUUGGGGGGAAAAGUUGUGACCAACCGCGAAGGUGAUGGGAAGAAGACUUUUAGUAUUAGUGACAGAGACAAGGUUGUUGAGAAACAAAUCAGUAACACUCAUCUGGGAUUGAGUUCUUCCACUUGUGGAGCUGAAGUUUUGAAUUCCUGCAAGUCUGUGGCUGCAACAGUGGAGUCGAGCAAAACAGAUAGUCAAGUGCAGCCAUCGAAUUUAGCUUCAGAGAAUUCUUGCUCAAACAUCGGACACUCCGGAUACUAAUUUGGCUUUAAGGACUUUCAGAGCAACUUGAAACUUUGAACAAGUAAAAGCCGAAAAUGUUAAAACAUUCUGAAAAAUUUAAAGUGAUCAUGUUACUUGUAAUUGAUGUUUAAUUUUUAUUUUUCAUGAAAAGUUGUUGGAUUGUCUUUGAUGAUUUCAUGACAAGUAGUAUCAUAGCGCUGAUAUGUGGCUUUAAUAGUUGAGUGGUGGAUUUGGGCUUGUUUAAUUCACAAGUAAUUAAACAAGGAGAAACAUUACAUUGGGGCACAUCACAUAAAAUCCCUAUUAUACUAUUAUGUAUGAUACAUUAAAGUGACAGAACAUAUCAUGCACAUAUUGAGGCUGAG